GCCGCCGCCUCCUCGCCCGCUUCCUCAGGGGCCGCAGCGGGCUUCGACUGCGCCACUCGCACCCCGCCUGGACCGCGUUGCACGUCAGCACGACCGAGCGCUAGAGACGUUCGACUGCGAAGUCAAAAGACCCCGAGUCCCGUCGGGCACUGCGGGGAGAAGCGGGGAAAGGCGGGGCACCACACCGAAGGGGCAACGUCUUCUGGAAAUCCUCUGUAGGAAGGGGGAGGGGCCGCAACCCGCAGCGCCGGAGACGCGCUCGGACGCACGCCUUCCGCGCAGAGAGUUCUGGGAGUUGUAGUUCAGCGUUAGAGAGAGACUCGCAGAGCGCCUUCUCCGGGCAGCGCCGCCAUUUUGUCUACCUGUGCUGUGCGGCAAUGGCUCAGCAACUCUACCUCUGCCCUGUGACCGCGGGUUUCCUUAGCAAGUGUGAGGCCACACAGCACCUGGUCUUCCGCUCUCAGGAGAGAUGCUUCAGAGUCAAGCCUCCUGGCUCCCUUGGAACCCCUUGAGCCCGGCUCUGGCCCAGGUUCUGAAGCAAAAGCCAAGCUAGCCUCCUGUGGUGUCCAUAGUCUUCACCUUAGACGGAGAUGAAAUAGGGCGGGAAGGCCAACAAGAAAUAGUUUCUCUUGCUUGGCGGUGGUGGCGCGCACCUUUAAUCCCAGCACUCGGGAGGCAGAGGCAGACGGAUCUCUGAGUUCGAGCCCAGCCUGGUCUGCAGAACGAGCUCCGGGACAGCCAGGCUAGGCAGAGAAACCCUGUCUCAAAAAAAGAAGAGUAGAGACUAGAUCAGCGGUUUCGCUUGUAGAAUCUGUGCCAUGUGUGAAGGGAUGUGUCAGAAGGAACUAUUUAAAAAUUUUAACUCCACUGGACCAUUUCCUGUGCAUAGUGCGGUGCCGGGAAUCGAGCCCAGGGUCUUCAUAUGUGCCAGCAAGGGCUCUGCCACUGAGCUACACACCCAGCCUAUUUCCUAUUUCAUUUAUGUGUUAAAAAUUAGGUGUAUACAUGUUUGUCUGUUCACGGUAUGCACACAUGAGUGCAGUUCUGAGGAGGUCAGAGGUAUUGAGGACUUGUGAGCCCGCUGAGGUGGUGGGUGCUGGAACCGAACUUAGUUCCUCCGCAGGAACAACAGUAAGAUCUUACUGAGCCUUCUCUCCAGCCCACCCUCAUUAAUUUUUAGAAGUCCUUUUUUCUAGGGCUGAUUAAAAGAUGGUCUCCCACGAAGCAGAGUUGUAGGAAGCUGUCCUUGUAGCCUUCAAACUAAUGUCUGAUUGCCUCUGUCUGCAGUCUUGAGUACCAGAAUUUGAUUUGAUAUUGUUGUUUCUUUUUAAUUUACCAUCAAAUACUUUAUUUACUCAGAUACUAGAAUUCCAAAAUUGUGAGAUUCGAGACAGGGUUUCUCUGUGUAACAGCCCUGGCUGUCCUGGAACUCUCUCUGUAGACCAGGCUGGCUUUGAACUCACAGAGACCCACCUGCCUCUGCCUUCUGAGAGCUGGGAUUAAAGGUUUGUGCCACCACAUUUGAGUUCACAUUUCUGUGCUCUAGAAUUGUGCUUUCCCUGUUUCUUUGAAGUCCCCAAUACUUGUAGACGUCCACAAACUAGACACACCUUAGGAGUUAAUAUGGUAAGGUAAUGGAGGAUGGAAGUAAAGGGUGGUGGUUUCUUUAAAGAUCAUAUCACUUCUAGUGAGACCUUUCCUAUAAGCUAAAUUCCCAUCUAAAUUCCUCAUAUCUUUUGCCAAAUUUUGUACCUGAAUUGUGCAUUCAAUGUUUAUGACAACCCCAUGGGGAAAAUGUUCUUUUUCCAUGACAACAGUGAAUUCUUUUACAUGUCCACAGUGUAAUUUUCAGAAUCAAAAUAACAUUGAAAUCUGGGCAUGCAUGUCUGUACUCCCAGGACUCAAGAGACUGAGACAGGAAGAUCCCAGCCUGGACUAUUAAGACAAGACCCUUCUCAACAACAGUAACAGCACGAAUGUAGAGCUAACAAGAUUGGCUCAACUGGAAAAGGGAUUUAACAUGCGUGGUAGGAGGACAGAACCUACUUCUGCAAGUUGUCCUCUGACUUCCUAAUGUGUGGCAUGAUACCACCCCCAGUCCCCUAAACACAUACACAAAAUAGAUGAAUAAAUAAAAGAUGAGUGUAACAUAGAAGCAAUGCUGUAAUCUACAAA